GGUGGCUCAGUGGUAGAGCGUUUGCCUUACAUGCAUGAGGUCCCGAGUUCGAUUCCUCAGCACCA
rfam:Dipodomys ordii contig_58897, whole genome shotgun sequence.